rnacentral:snRNA from 1 species
GUACUUAUUUUGACAUCACAGGUACUAAAAUUGAAACCACACAGACAAGAUCAGCUUGAUCUAUAGGCAAGGCUGACAUGCAAACUUUCAUUAGGAAAGAAAGAAGUCA